CCAAUUGUCUCAUUUAAGGCCCUAUUUCUCCCCCUUUCCAGUAGCUAAAUCUCCUUCAUCAUUCUUCUUUUUCUCCACCAUUAUCAAAGCAUUCUAUCAAUUCUCUCUCUCUCCCUUUCACGAUCCCAAGCUCUCCUGUCCUUAAUCCAUUCAAUUUGCCUAUUCCUGUCUUCAAUUCCUAGUUUGUGUGGACCUCUUUAGUGUCGACGCAUGGAAUGGGUGGGCUCAAAGUGUGAUUUCUCAUCUUCGUUUCCCUUUUCCUCGAUCGCGACCAUGCAUGCACUGAGAGGGGAGAAAACUAUCAGAUUUAGAAGCCCCCUUAAGAGAGAGGAUUAGACAAAGGGGAAGACAUGCAACUCCAACUCCAACAAAUAGAGAAACAAUUUUCUUUCAAUUUCAAACUCCAUUGUAGCUUGCAUGUCAGAAAUAGCAUCAUUCUCUGCCUCCUAUGUAGUUUCGUGAACUUGGGUUUGGCUCAUCUCAUCAAUAUGGUUCAUAUCUUUAUAAUUAUCAAAUUUGGAUGAGAAAUUAACCAUCAUAGCUGCCUUUGCAGCUAAUGAGGGUUCAUCUGUAGUAUUUUAUAUGGAAGCUACUAAUUUAUGGAAUCACGAUUUCUAUUAUCGCUACAAGGUUAAAUCGUAGUUCAAGGCAAUGGAUCAUGAUUGUGCUAAAUAUUAAUGCAAUGGGGCUUUGAGUUAUUCGCAUUGAAAUGUCUAAAGUACUGAUUGCGUACUUUAUUCAAGAGCUAAAAAUGUCAUCAAUGCUCGCUGAGAGUGCAAAGUUCAAAAUCUAUAUAUAACCAGCAAUUAAUAAAACGUGGUUGACAGAACAAUUAUUAUUGUCGAAUAGACCCCAACCUUUUUAAA